rnacentral:lncRNA from 1 species
GGGGCUAGAAGAUGGAGUUGGGUAAUGGGUUGGGGGACGAUGGUGGUGGUUAUGGGAAUGGAGUGGUGCUUUGAAGUGGUGCGGUUGGGUGGUUAAUGUCAUGGUGGUGGGCAAUGUAAGUUGCAGUGUUGUUGAUGUGAAGAUGGUGUGGGAGUCAAAAGAAACGACUGGAUGGUUUAAGGGAUGUGAGUGGUGCGAUUUAGAGAAGGGUUGAGAGUGAAAAUUGGUGUUGUUAGGAGAAGAUGGAGAUGGUGACUAGUGGAGCUGUGGGAGAUUACGAGAGUGGUAAGGUUAAUGUUGAUCCAAACAGAAGAAAAAUAAGAAAGGAGAAGGCAAAGAGGCAAAGGAGAG